rnacentral:rRNA from 1 species
UAUACAUGCAAGUCGAGCCGACUCGAAGAGAAGCUUGCUUCCUCUGAUAGUUACCGCGGACGGGUGAGUAACACGUAGGUAACCUACCCUAAAGCUUGGAAUAACUACCGGUACCCGUGGCUAAUACCGAAUAGUAUAUUGANCCGCAUGGUUCAAUGUUGAAAGACGGUUCGGCCUGUCACUCAUAGAUGGACCCGCGCCGUAUUAGCUAGUUGGUAAGGUACGGCUUACCAAGGCAUCGAUACGUAGCCGACCUGAGAGGGUGAUCGGCCACACUGGAACUUGAGACACGGUCCAGACUCCUACGGUAGUCAGCAGUAGGGAAUCUUCCGCAAUGGGCGAAAGCCUGACGGAGCAACGCCGCGUGAGUGAUGAAGGUCUUAGGAUCGUAAAACUCUGUUGUUAGGGAAGAACAAAUUUGUUAGUAACUGAACGAAGUCUUGACGGUACCUAACCAGAAAGCCACGGCUAACUACGUGCCAGCAGCCGCGGUAAUACGUAGGUGGCAAGCGUUAUCCGGAAUUAUUGGGCGUAAAGCGCGCGUAGGCGGUUUCUUAAGUCUGAUGUGAAAGCCCCCGGCUCAACCGUGGAGGGUCAUUGGAAACUGGGGAACUUGAGUGCAGAAGAGGAGAGUGGAAUUCCAUGUGUAGCGGUGAAAUGCGCAGAGAUAUGGAGGAACACCAGUGGCGAAGGCGGCUCUCUGGUCUGUAACUCACGCUGAUGGG